rnacentral:misc_RNA from 1 species
AACGCACCUUGCGCUCUCUGGUAUUCCGGAGAGCAUGCCUGUUUGAGUGUCAUGAACUCUUCAACCCACCGGUUCCUUGUUGAACCGAGUUGGUGUUUGGUUUUUGAGUGUUUUGCUUUGUUUUCGGACAUAGCUCGCUCGUAAUACAUUAGCAUCUCGAUUUCGAAAUUUCGGAUUGACUCAGCGUAAUAGACUAUUCGCUGAGGACACCUUUACCGGUGGCCGUAAUUAUGAUAACAGCAGACGCUUCCAAUCCUACUAGUCAAUUUUAUGAUUAGACCUCAGAUCAGGCAGGAUUACCCGCUGAACUUAA